rnacentral:rRNA from 1 species
GAUGAACGCUGGCGGCGUGCUUAACACAUGCAAGUCGAACGGGGAUGCUGACGGAAGGAGUGCUUGCACUUUGGAAAUGAGUAUCUUAGUGGCGGACGGGUGAGUAACGCGUGGGUAACCUGCCCCAUACCGGGGGAUACCACCUGGAAACAGGUGCUAAUACCGCAUAAGCGCACGGGAGCGCAUGCUCCUGUGUGAAAAACUCCGGUGGUAUGGGAUGGACCCGCGUCUGAUUAGCCAGUUGGCAGGGUAACGGCCUACCAAAGCGACGAUCAGUAGCCGGCCUGAGAGGGUGGACGGCCACAUUGGGACUGAGACACGGCCCAA